UACGUAGGGUGCAAGCGUUGUCCGGAAUUAUUGGGCGUAAAGAGCUCGUAGGCGGUCUGUCGCGUCGGCUGUGAAAACUCGGGGCUCAACUCCGAGCUUGCAGUCGAUACGGGCAGGCUAGAGUUCGGCAGGGGAGACUGGAAUUCCCGGUGUAGCGGUGAAAUGCGUAGAGAUCGGGAGGAACACCAGAGGCGAAGGCGGCGACCUGGACAGGUACUGACACUCAACUACGAAAGCGUGGGGAGCAAACAGG
rnacentral:rRNA from 1 species